CCUACGGCGUGCAGCAGUGAGGAAUAUUGGUCAAUGGGCGGAAGCCUGAACCAGCCAAGUCGCGUGAGGGAUUAAGGCCCUGCGGGUCGUAAACCUCUUUUGCCGGGGAGCAGAGGUCCGGACGUGUCCGGGCCGGGAGAGUACCCGGAGAAAAAGCAUCGGCUAACUCCGUGCCAGCAGCCGCGGUAAUACGGAGGAUGCGAGCGUUAUCCGGAUUUAUUGGGUUUAAGGGGUGCGUAGGCGGGCAUUUUAGCCGGCGGUCAAAUGUCGGGGCUCAACCCCGGCCUGCCGUCGGAACUGGGUGCCUUGAGUGGGCGAGAAGGAUGCGGAAUGCGUGGUGGAGCGGUGAAAUGCAUAGAUAGCACGCAGAACCCCGAUUGCGAAGGAAGCAUACCGGCGCCCUACUGACGCUGAGGCACGAAAGUGCGGGUAUCGAACAGGAUUAGAUACCCUGGUAGUC
rnacentral:rRNA from 1 species